GACGUCAUCUCCACAGAGAUCUUCUCAUGAACCAGGUAGAUGUCUGAAAAUGGGCAAAAUAUUGGGGAACAUUCGGGCACAGCAAGAAUAGCAGAAAAUUGGACAGAGAAAGCACCAAAGAACCUUCUUAGCUGGUUUUAAAAAAAUAGCAACCAACAUGCCAUUGUCAGAUGAAGUCUACCUCUCAAAGAGUAUGCAUGAUGCACAUGCUGCACAGUGUCAAAGUUAAGGAUGUCUUCCCCAUCAACAGUAAGGGUUGUCAUCUCCACAGAGAUCUACUCAUCAACCAAGUAGAUGUCAUGAGACCUGCAGUUGAUGAGCUUCCUAACAAUGUACAAAGAGUCCGGGAAAUGAACUGCUCUCUCCUUGAUAAAAGCUACAGACAGAUGCCAUUGUCAGAUGAAGUCUACCUCUUCAAUAGUAGAUGCGUGAUUCACAUGCUGCCCAGUGUCAAAGUACAGCAAGGUCUUCCCCAUCAACAGAUGGUGUCUACCUGUCACACAGAAGAUUUCGGAGACCUGCACCGUGUAUAGUCAGACCCACUGUCAACAUAUCACCAGUUUAGAUGUGUGAGGGUUACGCAAGAGGAAGGUAAAAUACCUGUGGUUGUUUUACACUAACAUCAAAGGGUGGUCUGUUUUUGCAGCACUCAUACCAACAGAAUAUCUCGUCACAUGCCACAACAGUUUUGGGGAUGAAAUGCUGGCACCAGCCUAACCCGAAAUGAGAGGUUCGUCCCUACAGAUUGAUAACAGAUUUAAAAGAUAGGAAACAUGUUUUUGAUUAACCA